rnacentral:rRNA from 1 species
AUGUAUGCUCUACGUCGCUACAAUGCUACCUCUGAUCAUCCCCACGACAGCUACAAAAGGUUCCAAUCAAAUUGUAAGCAAGAUUUCCCCACAACUUACCUAGGCCUGCCACUAUCCCCCAAGAGGCUGCGUCUAGUGCAUUUUCAGUUCCUCAUCGACAGAAUCAAGUCACGCCUAGCGGGCUGGAAGGGCAAGCUGAUGUCCUUGGCGGGUCGGCGCGUCCUGGUGCGGGCUGUGCUCUCUGCGCUGCCAACCUUCGCCAUGACCGUGCUCAAGGUGCCGAAGAAAAUCCUCAAGGAGAUUGACAAGGCGAGGCGUCGUUUCUUAUGGGCCCAGGACGAGGCGUUGACGGGAGGGAAGUGCAAAGUGGCGUGGAAGCAGGUGUGCACUCCAACAGAGAAGGGCGGCCUGGGGAUCCUUGACCUGUCACGUUUCGCCUCAGCACUUCGCCUGCGCUGGUUAUGGGCGUCCUGGCUGUUGCAAAUAUGCCCUAGAGGCAAUAAUAAAAUGGUUAUUAUUAUAUUUCUUUGUUCGUGA